rnacentral:rRNA from 1 species
CCUACGGGAGACAGCAGUAGGGAAUAUUGCACAAUGAGGGAAACCCUGAAGCAGCAACGCCGCGUGGAGGAUGAAGGUUUUCGGAUUGUAAACUCCUUUUGUUAGAGAAGAUAAUGACGGUAUCUAACGAAUAAGCACCGGCUAACUCCGUGCCAGCAGCCGCGGUAAUACGGAGGGUGCAAGCGUUACUCGGAAUCACUGGGCGGAAAGAGCGCGGAGGCGGGAUAGCAAGUCAGAUGUGAAAUCCUAUGGCUUAACCAUAGAACUGCAUUUGAAACUGUUAUUCUAGAGUAUGGGAGAGGUAGGUGGAAUUCUUGGUGUAGGGGUAAAAUCCGUAGAGAUCAAGAGGAAUACUCAUUGCGAAGGCGACCUGCUAGAACAUAACUGACGCUGAUGCGCGAAAGCGUGGGGAGCAAACAGGAUUAGAUACCCUUGUAGUC